GACUAUUUCAUCGUCUUCUUCACAAAGCCGCAUUUCAACUCGCCAAAUCCAUGGCGAGUGAUUCCACAUUCCUAACCCACACAUCCCUCCAUCUCUCCUCUUGCCAUUUCUAAAGUUUUCUAACGCCAAGAUUCCCCUCUCCUCUCACUCGCUUGAAUUUGAGAUAUAUCUCACGUUUGGAAGCUUCUGAAAAGGAUUGGCUGGAUGACUGUGAGGCGUUGGAUUGAUUUUACUCAAUCCGAGCCCCACAUUCAUCAAGGGUUCAUUUUCAAAAAGGAACCUCUUCCGAUUUUGAGAGAUGAGGAAUUCUGGUAAAAAAACAGGGGAGAGAAAACUCGAAGGAUCUUUUUAGCUUCUGAUUUCUCUUUCCUGAAGAUUUUUUUUCUUUGAAAAGUUUCUCCGAAAGGUUCAAAAAGUGAGAUACAUAUAUAUAUUUAUUAAGUUCUGAAUCUAGAUUUUGGGUUCCAAAGAGAUAAAAAAUGGGUCGAAGUCAUUCGAUUGGGGGUGAGACUCAAGUUCGUUAACUUCGAUUUGCUACUGCUGCCUUACUGCUUCGUUGCAGAACCUUGCUAGGAUCUUGGAAUCCAAAAUUUUACUCGCUGCUUCUUCUGUAAUUAUUGAAAAGAAGUUUGAAAGUUCAGGUUCAAUCUCUUUCUCUUUCGCAUCUCUAUUUUUAAAGUGUUCUUGAACUGUGAAUUCUGUCCAGAACGGUGUUUGGUUCUAUGAGUGAAUUUCUUGCUGGUGAAUCUCUUUUCAAUGGUGUGAUGUAUUUGAGUAUGUUCAGUCAGUAAAGUUGAUUUUGAGGGAUCGUCCUCCAUGCUUAUAUGCUUUAAUUGUUAUUAUGGUGGUGAGUUUUCAUUUUGAGUCAAGAUUUCGUUAUUUUCAAAUGAACCGUUUGAUUUCAACUUUGAGAUGGUAUGGAUUCUUGAAGGCGUCAUACUACUGUUAGUUUAAGUCGAUUGGUUUAAGUCUAAAUGACUGUGUUCAUUGGUUCCAGUUUUAUAAUCAAGACUAGUUCCAGUUUAAAUGACCAGUUCAACUAAUGCUUGUGUUGCUUUGGCUAUAUACGACAUGUUUGAUGCUCAAAGUAAUCUGCUUGUACCUACUAUUUUAUCUCAGCAUGUUCUACAUGAAUCAUUGAGUAGUCUCCUUUUUCCCUGAUUCUAUGACCAUUUGCGUAUGUUCUGCUGGUUUGAAGUUGCUGAGAUUAUCCUUGUUAAUUUUUGAUUUUGUGGCUAUCGAGUUAAUCAGUCGGUCUUUCUUGCUGUGGCUCUGUUUGCGUUGUGAUCAAGUUUUCUGUUUUGGGAUAUAAGUCCAUUAGAUUGCUGCUUGCUGAAACUCCAUUUCAGAUUAUUUCAAGCCUCUCAUUUGGCUUUCCAUAUUUGCCCUUUCACUCUCAAUAUUUUACACACAGACUCAUCUAUGACACGCAUUACUUAGAAUGAAUUUAAGCUGAUUGUGAAACAUGGUGCAUUCAAUUACCCCCUUGGUAGCUGUGAGUUGAUUUUUAUGCAAUACUGUUGGUUAAUGUCACAUAUAAUAGCUAACUUUGGUCGAGUUGCAUUCUAUUUCCCUUCCUCUGUUAGUCUAUCAAUUUAGAGCUUUAGAUAUAUGUUCGUUGGUUGUCUAUGCUUGUUUCCUUGACCGGGAUUCUGAUGUCUCUCACCCAUUCUAGGAGACUAGUUUUAUUGAUCUCUUUUACAACCAACUAUUAACUUGGCAUUCAUAUGCUAUGGCUGUUGCUCUUCACCGAACAAUUAGUUCUAAGUAGCUGCUCCAGUUGCUUAAUCCAAUCAUUCAAACUGGAUGUUUUCCUUAUCUAUGUUCUUUGGCUUUCUAAAAAUGGGAAAUAGGCAGAUCUUUGGUUGUUGUGAAGCUGAAACCUUUCUUAUGAGUUUGUUGGCCUGGGUUUGAAAACUUGACUGAUCACUUGUAGGAAAAUCAGUAGUAGCUGGCUUUCUGAAUUUUGCUUCGUUUGGUUUGGACAGUCGUAGGAAUACCAGAUUUGUUUUUUUGUGCACUUUCAUUCGUUUGGCCAGCCUCAUUUGUCUUUGAAGGGUUAACAAGCAGUUUUUUGUACAUAGUUGACGAUGAUUAACCGAAGUAGCAGUAGGUAGCAAAUGGAAGUCAUGGCUACUGAUUAGAAGUGUCACUCUGGUUUUGUCUGCUGCAGACAAGUCCAUAGGCCUAUAAAUUCUAGUUUCCGGUUUUGGGGUUUUACCAUUUGUUAGGCAUUAAAGGUUUUUACCCUCGAAGGCAAAUUGUGUUAUGUAUAACUAUAUCGUCCGUCACAUGUUGGAUUGAGUUCAUUUCAGGGUUUGCUAAUGUUAUUUUAAGUGGAAUGUAGAUCUCAGUCGAAGAGUUGAGGAGGAGAUGGCUAGGGUCUCUGAACAUAAAUUAAGUACAAUCCCUUUGGAAAUAGUAGAGAUGGGCCAUAUUAGAUAACACAAAUAACUUAUGGCCCCCGAAGUUUAGCUUGAAUUUUUUUUAAUUGGAAAUUAAUGUGCAUCAUGCAAAACAAAAAUCUCAAUUGCAUGACCCUCAUUUAAUUAAUCUUGUUUUGAUCCUUAGAAAUCGAGGCGUGCCGUUUAACGAAAUUCCCAUGGUCCCCGCAAAGUUAAAAACACGUAGUUACUUUAGGUGCAUUAUUUUAAUAAGAUUACCUUCCUAAACUCGGGUGCGCAUUUAUGUGACCCAAAUCUAAAUCUCAACAACGUUAGAUAAAAUAUGUCAAGGACCACGGGUGCAUUUAUGUGAUGUGGUUCAAGACGUGUUUUAAUAACGUUAAAAUCUUUCUAAGAAAAAAACAAUUAAUUAAAAGCGGUUAUAAAGCAAAAAUGCACAUAGCAUUAAACAUGUUUAAUAUCAGAUAAUUAGGCCAAUUAUAACACUUGAGCGACCGUGCUAGAACCACGAAACUCGGGAAUGCCUAACACCUUCUUCCGCGUUAAUAGAAUUCAUUACCCGGAUUUUUGUGUUCGCGGACUGUAAUUUAGAGUCGAUCUUUUCCUCGAUUUGGGAUUUGAACCGGUGAAUUGGGACACCAUAAAAUUAUCCCAAGUAAAGCGACUCUGAUUUUUUUUUACUAAAUAAAUUUCGUCUCGAUUGUCAGUUUAAGUUGAAAAAACUCCCUUAUACCUCUUCCGGGGGUGUAGAAAAAAGGAGGUGUGACCCACCCCAUCCUCAAUAUUUCUUCACAAUUCAUAAUCAAGGAAUAUUCUACCAACGGGAACAUCCAGCCUUUGAACCUUAUGUAUACCAUAUCCAUCAUCUUACAGAAAAAUAUCCACAAUUCAAAUCAUAAUGCACCUACCAAUAGGCGAACUCUCCUCCGGCGAUAGCAAAUAGUGCCAGCAUAGUGUUAAGCACUCGAAAUCAUUCGUGUCAUCAAGAACUCAUAUUCUUCCCUCCAAAACUAAACUUUAAUCUUGUACAUGAAAAUGUUCAACCCCACACGGUGCUUCACCUAUAACAUUCUAACUCAUGACACUAUGAAAAUUUCAUAAUCAACUCUGAACCAUGAUCAAAUUGAACAACUCAUCAACAACGAACCUUUUAUUUUAAUCAAUCCAAGAGAACAUCAUGACACAAAAUAUAACUUCUACACCUGUAACAAACACCAACUCCAGUCGUAGUCAUAACCAUGAUAAAUUUUUCAACAAAAAACCCAGUGUAAUCUCACUAAUGGCGUUUGAGGACGGUAGUGUGUAUGCAAACCUAUUUUAAGAAGAUAGACAUGUUAUUUCCGAUAGACUUCGGCUAUCUUUCAGAUAGUAACAAAAAUCUCUUUUUUUUUAUAAGUAAACAAAAGUGAUACUCCUUCCGGUCAAUAAUAAGUGUCCUUUUGGCCUUUGGAACACCCCUUAAGAAAAUAACUCCUAAAAAAGUAUUUUGACUAAACUACCAUUAAUUAAAAUUUGUAUAUUAUUAACUGGACACAAUGGGAUAUGUAAAUAAGAUCAAAUUUGGAAAAAUAAAGUUAGAUUCUUCUUGAUUAGGUAAAAAGGAUACUUAUUUUGAACUAAAACAAAAAGGCCAAAAGGUCACUUCUUAUGGAUUAGAGGGAGAAGCCUAUUUGACCGGACACAGAGUUUAAGAAAAACAAAAGGCUUUUGAACUUGUAACGUAAAAUGAUGCAAAUAUAUUUUAUGUGUAUAUAUUGCAUAAAGGUAAUUAUUUCCAAAUAUGGAAAGAGGUCUUUUUUUGGCACGGACUAAAAAGAAAAUAGGUUCACAUAAAUUGAAACAGAGGAAGUACUAUCUAUUCCACGGGAACCACUCUCCCACCUUAUCCCGAAUUUCUUCAUUCCUAAUUAAUCUUGGUAUACCUGCACAUCCAUCUAAACAUCCUUAUUUCUGCUAAUUUCAUCUUCUAGACAUGAAAAUUCUUGACUAGCUAACACUCUGCCCCAUUUGUAUGGAAGUUUUGUCGUGUUUUUAAUUCAAAAGCCGAUUUUAAAUCUAUUUCGAUAUUGGUAAAGAAAAAGGAGGCAUAUUGAACUGAGUUAGGGCAAUUGCAACACCCUCACCAUUGGCUAGACCUCAAUUUACUGAGGUGAUGCUCUAAUGGUAUAUGGUUGAAGAAAAUUUCCAAAAAUGACAAGUUUUGUUAAACUAAGAAUGCAAAUUUUGAAGGAGAGAAAAAUUAGUUAUCAACUCGAUCACUCUUCCAGAUUGUCAAUGAGAUGUUGGUUCUCAAUAAGUCAACUAAGCAAUAUCAAACAAGCACUACAUACUUCUAUUAGAAACUUCUACCAGUGUACCUUCAUAAAACAAGGGCUCAAGUCAACAAUUGACAACCUCUCAACUUUCUCCCCUAAACUCAAAUCGGGAGACUUUACCCACAAUAGAUGAAGUAAUUCCAUUGACAUCCUUCCCAACAAGCAGUGCCCUUCGAGAUUCACUAUCACAAUUUGAAAAUUAGAUUAUAACAAGAAAGAAGAUGGACCAUGAGAACCCUGAAGAAAAUUUGUUCUUGAAGGAGGGAAAACAUCCCAACAUUCAAACCAACUAAAUAAGAAAAAAGGAGGUUAUCAAACAUAACGAAAAAGUAUAAAGCAACAGAAGAUAAUAAAUAUUGCAUAAAGCCUAAUACGACGGAAUUUGACAUAACAACAAACAUUAUAUGGUUUUUCUUUUCAUGCGCUAACGGAGCUAAACAUUGAGUGCAUGUUCCAAGUGCUGAGAAAGGUCUAUGGACUUUGUUGAGAUCCAUUUGUUGACAAUAUUCCAGAUAUAACAUUUUAACUUUGUAUUAUAUAUUUUACACAUCAAAGGACAAACAUGAAUUCAUAAUCAUGUUUAGGUUUAUCGUUCCCUCCCCAGACCCCACCUGGUGGGAGUAUACUGGGUAGUUGUUGUUUAGGUUUAUCGUUGUUUCUUAAGCUAGCCUGUGCUGCCAUAAGAUUGAGAAUAAAAAGUUUCCAGUGUUCUUUUUAAAUUUGAUUUGUUUCACACAAUUGUUGUUGUUAGAGUUUAGGAAUAAUAUCAUCAAAUCAUAUUACAAGGUCCUAAAUGUGCUAGAACCACCAGCAUUGAAUUAAAAGACGUCCAAAUCUUGUCAGGUCCACAGAUACAAAGAAGAUAAGAAGGGAAAAUUAAAGAGACGAUGUUAAUGGAUGUGAAGGAGAAUCACUUUAUAAGGACAUAAAGGGACAAGUAGAAGGAUACUCUGAACUUUUCUCUCCUCAAUCAGUAUCUAGAAGGAAAUGCUUUUUAAGAAAGACAAGAAUAGGAAAGAAAUACUAUAGACUCAGGUUACCAUACUGCAAAUACUUUGUUAUUUCAUUAUAGUCUUCUUUCUUUUAAUUCAGGAUUGUGAAAUAGGUCACUCAAAACUGAAGAAACAUGUUUCUAGAUUUGGCACAUUAUAGAUUAUUAGACUUUCAAUAUAUGUAUGCUUAAUAUGUUCUAAUGCAUCAAAAUGAAUACCAAAAGUGAUAACCAAACGGAAAAUUGCUGAAUUUGACAAUUGCCAACAAUCAUAAAGCUUAUUUGACAUAGUUAACUGCACAAAUAAGGAUCUUUCAGACUUUCCCGCUUAUGUAUCCAAAUGAUCUCUAGCAAGUUCAACUGCAAAGGCAGAAACUAUUUAUAAUUGGCCCUCAUAACGAAUCUCAACAAAUAAAGUUUCAGAAAAUGCUUUAUACCUGCCAAAGCUGACAAACAGGAUGACAAGAGAGCCAACCCUUAUUUCAGCUGAAAAUUUAUCCAUUUCAGGGAGAAAGAAUUUUCCUUGAGCUUGAUUUAUUCCAUCAACUCCAGUGAAAGAAGUUGAUAUGUAUGCCUGCCUCUGAUGUAAUUUCUGAUGGUUCAGAUAGCUUCGAGAGGUAAUUUGAGAUUUAGGAGAGUGAUCGGAAUGUGGGUUGGAGGUCCGGAGUAGAUUUAGGCUUGAAUUAGCGAAAGUGGAUUUUUGGCGUUUUGCGGUUGAUAGGUGAGAUUCUGAUAUUGGGGUCAGAAUGGAAUUCCAGGAGUUGAAGUAGUUUUGUUGUGUAGCUAAUAGAUAUAGCACUGUGAGUGUUGGGAGUAUUGUGUUGCGUCUUCUUCACUGCGUUUGUUAGAGUUUCAAUAGCAUUUCAAAACCCUUCGCAUUGAAGAGAUUCUUCCUUAGUUGAGUUUUAGCAGAGAUCUUUAAGAAUUAUAAUAUGUAUCAUCACUUGCCUAUCUUUAACAUUAGAAUAACUAAUCUUUUUCUUUCCUAAGAAAGAAUUAAAGAUCUGAAGGGAAUGAGGGUCAUUUGGUAAACAUCACUGCUUUUAUUUGCUAAAAAGUAGUUGAAUGAAAUUUGUUUAGAGCUAAAAGAGUUCGUUGUUAAAUUAGGAGUUGUCAAAUUAGUAAUGUACAGCUUUAUGUUGCAAACAUAAGAUUUUAUGCUCGAUUUAUAUUUUAUCCCUUUGAUGUGUUGUGCUCUUCAGAACUUAUUGCAUCAUUUGCCCUUUACUAUUAAACCUUUGUAUUUUGUGAUCCGCAAAGAGUUAUUUGAAGACAAAAGAAAAUGACCUUGAAUUGAACAAUCUUUCUGUUGUUUUACUCACCAUAUAACGAUCCUUGUUUGUAUGUUUUCUAUGAAAAUUGAAACUUGAAUACUACUAAAUAAUUCAAAGACCAUGGCAUUCUGUUGGGUUCCUCUAAAAAAUGUUUGUUCAUCGUUUUGCUGUAUCACUUUAUUUGGAUAGCAAGUCAAUAAAAACUAUAGUUGGCUCAUUUCUUCGUGAAUACCAAGCUUGCUUACUUUAGUUGUUAAACAAUUACCAAUUUUCUGCAUUUUCCGUCGGCUAAGUGAUUAUGUCAUUUUUUAAUAGUUCCAUGAUUCAUGAGUUCACAAUAAUCUCAAGAUAGUUUUUGGAAAUAAUAUAAACAAUCUUAGCUUAUUUUAGGCUCGAUUUAGAUUAGUAUUGCGAUAAUGUAUAUGUUCGUGUAACAUAAUUGCAAAUUUAACUCUAAAAGACUUGAGGGAUGUGUUCACGCAACUUUACCAAAAUUUCUUAAUAAAUUAACAGCGUUAUUAAUUGUGGACACGUUCGCGUGACUCGAUUUUUGACAUGCCAAAAGAAAAGAGUAUACGUAUGCGUAACUCAAUUCUUUAAUUAUGAAUAAUUCAGGUGAUCGGUAAAAGAUAAAUGCACAUAGGUCUUAAAAAUGAGUAGUUAAACAGUUUAAGUCAAGUAAUAAUCGCUAAGCGAUUGUGCCAGAACCAUGGAACCGGGGAAUGCCUAAUACCUUCUCCCGGGUUAACAGAAUUCCUUAUCUAGAAUUUCUGGUUCGCAGACUCUUUAAAAAUAAAACUUCCUCGAUUUGAGAUUUAAAAUAAACCGGUGACUUUGGACACCAUAAUUUAUUCAAGUGGCGAUUCUUAUAAAUAAAAUAAUCCCAUUUCGAAUAAUGUCACUUUAAUUGUAAAAACUACCUUAUAUACCCCCUCGGGCGGGUUUGUAAAAAAGGAGGUGGGACAGGAGGGGCUAAACGUGGUAUUAACGCACUGGUCAUCAUAUCCAUAUCUACCCUUUCCCAUCCCGUUUAAGGUACUAAAGCACGGAUUGGUCUCGACCACUAUUGUAUACUAUUACCCGCCCCAUUCCUACAAAGGGAUCAGGGAUUGGGAUCUAUUGCAAGGAGCCUAUGUACUUAGGCAGGGACCAGCUUUGGGCAUGCACAGUGAUAGAAGGUGUUGGCAUGCCUAUAAACCAAUCAGAAUACACAACAGCUAAAGGAGGUAUGGAGGUUAUGAUCCCAAGGGGAUUAGAUUUAAGUCAUGCACAGCAACAUUCAGUGUUGUCAUGCCCCAAACCAACCACAAAUACCAAACCCAUUGGAGAUGGGGAUUUAGGAUUCACAAGCCAUGAUAAGUAAUUCAAAGAAGCAUCAAUUCAAAACAAAAAAAAAAGGAGACUAAAACAUGCUUAAUAAUGGGCGUGGUUAAAUACUAACAGGAGACAAACAAGGAUGAAAGAAACAAUAAAGGAACACGUUGUUGAUGCAAACGAUUAGUCAGAACAUAACAGUAAAGGUAAAAAAAUGUAGAGAAAAAUAAGUAAGCUCCCCACAGCCUAGCCUUGGCUAUCACCCGGCUAGGUAAGGCAGUAGUACAAGCAACAACAGAGAAAAGAGAGAGAUUUUAGUGGAGUGUGUGUAUGAACUCAAGUAUUUUAUGCCUUGUGUUCAUGUGUUUGAAAGAAGAGAAUGUGGGUAUUUAUAGUUCUGAAAAUAUGUGAGAAAUAAGGCAGUAAAUAAAGUUCAAUGCACAUAUGAAAAUAAUCAGCAAUCAAAAUCAAUCAGCCAACCGAUUCCCCUUUAAUUGAGGAAUCACUUGUUUAAGAGGCUAAUAGGUUUAAAAGAGGGAAAGAAAAUCAGUUUGCAGGCAGACUGAUUAUUACCAUAAAAGAAGUAGCAGAACAUUAAGUACACAAUAGAGUCUUAGUACAGAAAUACUUAUUUUGGGAAACAGAUUCAACAAGGCAAUAAUAAGGAAAGGGAUCAACUACUUUAACAGCCGGGUAAAAUUAAGAGUUCACAAAGAGAAGUUUUGAAAUCAGCCCCUAAAAUUGAGAAUCAAUCAAAGAAAGAAUUUCAGUAGAUAAAUAGAGUGCACAAGCAAUACACGUGCAAGGUCAAACUAUUGGCAAAGGAACAGCAUACAAUAGUAGCAUAGAGUUCAGGAAACAUACGAAGCAUGCUAGUCUAGUAGGUUAAGUCUCAUUGAAUUAGUAGUAAAGAAAAAUAGAGUAUCAGAAGCACGAAAAAGGUCAAGUGAAAAAACUCUUCUAAAAAGCAUAGUCUAGUUUAAAAAAUAGCGGGAACCAAAAAUCAAAUGAAUCACAUAAAGAAAAGAGAUGUUGAAACAAAGGAACUUCAAAUCAAAUCGAGCAGUUUCAACUCAAAGGUCAUUGGUUUUUCUUUUAAGAAUAUUCAAGUUUAACAGAUGAUAAACAGAUAAAUCAAACAGAUAUUAGCAAACAACUUCAGAAACUCGAAUGAACCCCAAAAGAAAUUAAGGUUUUCAAUACCAAUCGAGUCUGGAGACGAUAAACAAGUAAAUCAAAUAAACACUAACAAAUAGUCUCAGAAACCCCAAAAGAAGGGUUUUUAUCAUACUAAACUCAAAAAAGAAGAUUUUGAAAGAAAACCUUAAACGAAAAAAGAUGAAGAGUCUUUUUUUAAAGCAAAAAUUAAAGAGACAUCGAGAAGGUGUUUAAGAACUCAUAGCAAGAAUGGAUCUAAAGUGAACCUGAGAGAAGUCAAAAAACUCUUAGAGAUUAGGGUUUCAGAAGAUCUCUAAGUGACGAGAAAGGCCUUGAAAACCAUCAACCUAAACAGGAGAGUCAAAAGUCUGACUCAAAUGGCCAUGGCUAGCCGGAGAAAGGUCAGCGACGACCGAAGAACAGUCUUCGAACAAAACACUGGACCAAGCCCCUUCAGAAUUUGGUCAUAAGACCACAACAGCAAGCACAUAGAAGCAAUGGGAGACUGAUACAGGUCUUAGAUGACCAUGGAAAGCCAUAUAUUAUGGUAGAUAAGGGUGGCGGCGGCUAGGGUUUGAUGUUUUUGUAGAGAGAAUUUGAGAGAUGAGGGGAAUUCAGAGGCGGUGCAUGGUGAAAAAUGAUAGGGUUUAGGGUGUCGUUUAGGAUUAAUUUAGGUAAGUGCAGCCGAUGGUCGUUUAUCUAAAUUAUCAAUGGCUGAGAUUUAAAAUGUUAGGUGGGAUCCAGAUAUGGCUCAGUUUAACUGGGUUUGGGUCGGUGGUUUAAUAGGUUGGGCCAGGGAAUUGGGUUUCAAAUUGGGGUCCAAUUUAGGCUACAAUCAAAAUAAAAUGGGUUAUCAUUUAAAUAGCCAAUUUUUCUUAUUUGAUUUAUAAAAAAUAAUAAAAUAAUAAAAUAAUUUUUUUAAAAUAAAAUAAAGAUGUUAAAAUUAUUUAUAACACAUAAUUAGUUAUCUAAGAAUAGCAUACCUGAUUUUGUGAAUACAAAACACAGUUAAAUCUAAAAAAAGGGGCUAAUAUUGUAACUACACAAUUUUAGCCUUAAAAAUACUAAAUAAUUUUGUAACAAAAUAUGCAAAAAUUACCUUAUCUAUAUUUUAGCAUAAAUAUAAACACUCAACAAAGGAAUUACCAAAAUAAUAAUUUUAGAAACAAUUAUUGAAUUUUUUAUGGAUAAAAUACGGGAAUAAAUUGAUUUAAAAAUCCUUUAAAAUUAGGGGAAAAUAAGGAAACACUCGGAGAUGCUUAAAUAUGCAUACAUAUGUUAAUGGAAGGUAUUUGCAUAUUAAAAUAUACAUAGGAAAAAAUUAGGUAUCAACACCAGUUGGGCUAGAUGUGCCCCCGGUGUCUGAAGUCCCUAAACGACCUGCUCAGGUGUGCGAGCGGCGGGAGUCUGAUUGCCUCCCUGGGCCUGAGAAGUAGCCCGAUGUAGUAAUUGAGACCGCCUGAGCUAGGCUAGUGCAUAUGGUCAAAAUCUAAGCCAAGGCCUCCUGAAGACCUAGAAUCACAAUGGGCACAGUUGGUGCCUGAGCUGGUGCUGCUAGAGCGUCCACAACUGGGACUUCAUCCUGACCUAGGGCGUCGGGUGGAUUUGCAGGUGUUGCCUUAGCUACUGUGCAGGCUACACCCCUGCCCCUACCGCGACUGCGGCUGCGUCCUCAGCCUUUAGUGGUUAUAGCUGGUGGUACUAGUGGUCGUCCAUCCCGACCAGCAGCAUGUGUCAUUACCAUCUGUGAGAGAAUAGAAUAACAUAAGCUUAGUACUCUGGAUCAACAAAUUCGCACGACAAGAAUUUUAAGAAUAUGAAGUUUUACCUAAAGGUUCUACAGCCUCUCGAGGAUAAAUAUAGACAUCUCCAUACCGGUCCGCGAGACUCUACUAAACCUACUUAUGACUCGUGAGACCUCUGUAACCUAGGCUCUGAUACCAACUUAUCACGACCCUAAACCCGAUCGGUUGUGAUGGUGCCUCUCGUGAAGACAAGGUCAGCCGACACAGUCCAAAUUCAUUUUUAAGCAAUUAAAAUAAUACAAAUUAAGUCAUUAACAUAAUUAAAUCCCAAAAAAGAAACACUCAGAUAGUAUAAUUUGCGAAAAAAAUAACACUGCCGACAUUUGGGUGUCACCAGUCAUGAGCACCUACUAACCGAUUAAACACAAGAAAAGUCUACAUGGUCUAUUACAGAACUAAACAAGAGAAAAUAAGAUGGGGGAGAAGCACUGUGCUGCAAACGCUGAGCAUCUACCUAGUGAAUCUCUGAAUCCGCCUGAGUUGGAAGAAAUCAACACUCACUAGCGGGACCUGUAGCGACUGAAUAUGCGCACAGGGUGCAGGGAGUAAAGUGAGUACUCCAAAUCAGUGAGUAAUAAUAAUAAACGAAGACUAAGUAAUAAGAAAUCACAUAAAAAUACAACGACAUGCUAUAAAGAGGCAGAGUAAAACCAGUAAAGCGCAAUAAAACGAUAAAUAUCAUAAAAACACCUUAGUAAACAACACUGCUGACAUUUGGGUGUCACCAGUCAUGAGCACCUACUAAUCGAUUAAACACAAGAAAAGUCUACAUGGUCUAUUACAGAACUAAACAAGAGAAAAUAAGAUGGGGGAGAAGCACUGUGCUGCAAAUGCUGAGCAUCUACCUAGUGAAUCUCUGAAUCCGCCUGAGUUGGAAGAAAUCAACACUCACUAGCGGGACCUGUAGCGACUGAAUAUGCGCACAGGGUGCAGGGAGUAAAGUGAGUACUCCAAAUCAGUGAGUAAUAAUAAUAAACGAAGACUAAGUAAUAAGAAAUCACAUAAAAAUACAACGACAUGCUAUAAAGAGGCAGAGUAAAACCAGUAAAGCGCAAUAAAACGAUAAAUAUCAUAAAAACACCUUAGUUCAGUUUAAGCUUCUAAAAAUACCUUUUUAACAGUUAAACAAGUAAAUGACAGGCAGCUACAAAAGAUAAACACAUAAAAACUGCCCCUUGGGCAUAAUGUCAACAAAAUCAUCCCCUCAAGCAAUAACAUGGUACAACACUAGCCCCUCGGGCUAUAUCUCAUAUCACAAUGGAUACCCGCGCUCAAUAGGGCAUACUGACUCCAGGAGGGACCAUUUACGGCCUAAGCAAUAUCAAGCCAUCUCAUGGCAUAAUCACUAGGCUCUCGACCUCAUAUCAAGCCACCUUAUGGCGUACAGCUCAGGCCCUCGACCUCAUAGUCAUAAUCAAUGUAUCACUGUUAUGGCAUGCAACCUGACCCAAAAGUAUCCUCACAACACGGGCCAUUGGCUUUACUCAGACAGGAUCUCAUAAGUCACUAAGGCAAUAGUAAAACAUAAUGCUCAACCCAAUUAUCAUUUAAAAAUGUCAUUUAAUAUGGUAAAACAGAGUAAACAUGGCUGAAUUAUGAAAACAGUAGAAUAUAGCAUGACUGAGUACAGGUACAUAAUCAAAUCAGUGGGGAAAUACCAGUAAAACUCCCAUAAGGGUCCAAAUAGUCUGCACGAAGCCCAAAUAUGGCAUUCAGCCCAAAACAUGAUGAUAGAAAAUUGUUUUCAAUCAAAUAUGCGCUAAAAUAGUCAUUCGGGACGCACUAAGUCACAAUCCUUAAAGGUGCACAAUCUCACGCCCAUCAUCUAGCGUGCUUGGCACCUCAACAUAGUACAAUGAUAUGAAAUCUAAGGUUUCAUACCCUCUGGACAACACUUACAAUCAUUCCUCACUUCAAUCCGGUCCAAACUCUAGCCUGGGACGCCUUUGCCCCUUGAAUCGGCCUCUGAAUGCUCCAAAUCUAGCAAAAAUCAGUAUAUAACCAUCAAAAUGUGCUAAGGGAACAAAGCCCACUCAAAAAUAAUCAAAAUACCACGCAAAUACCGAAAUUAACCAAACCCGAUCCUCGGGUCCACGUCUCGGAAUUUGAUAAAUUUUACAUCAUUAAACUCAUUAUCUCCCCACGAGUUUAUACAUAUCAAAAGUCCCAAAAUCCGACCACAAAUGACCCCUUAAACCCUUGCUCAAAGUCUCCAAUUCUCAAGCCCUAGUUUCCCAAUUUUUAACCUUUAUUUUUCAUUAACUAUAGCUCUAAUCCGUAAAAUAAUACCAUAGGAUUGAUUAUUAGGUUAAAAAAUCUUACCUCCAGACAUUAUCCCUUGAAUCCCUCUUCAAAAUCUCCUAAAAAGCUCCAAACCCGACUUGAAAUGGUGAAGAACAACUCAAAAAUCGUGAAGGAAAUAUUUUAUACUUUUUGGCCAACAGUUUUCGUACCUCCAGCCCUUUUUCCACUUCUGCAGUCCGUUUCUACGGCCAAAACCACCGCAUCUGUGAUUUUCACUUAAAUGACCAAUACCACAUCUACGGUUAAAAUCUCGCACUUGUGCUACGGCAGGUGCGCCCUCUUUGCCGCUUCUGCAGUUCUAGCUGCUUGCCUACUUGGCCGCUUCUGUGGCUGCCUUCCACUUCUACGGGCAUUGCACCUGCGACCUCCCAAUUGCAGGUGCGGUUAUGACAGCAGCAAAAUGCUUCAGCUCUCAAACUCAACUCUAUACCUUCCGUCAACCAUCCGAAUUCACCUCGAGGCCCUCGAGACCUUAUUCAAAAGCACCAACAAGCCAUAUACCACCCUUCUAACUUAUAUCAAUCCUCAAAACACCUCGAAUAACAUCGAAUCAACCAAAACACUUCGGAUUCAAGCAUAGGGUUAAUAGAAGAAGUUAAAAAUGUCAAACCUCAACCGAAAAUUGGACAGAACAAACUCCCAGCAACAUUCUCCCAACACUCACGCAACACAAUACUCCCAGCAAGGUGAGGUCCAAUCAAUUUUUUGCUCACCUCAAACAUUAGUGUAACUUAAUAGAAGAAGUUAAAAAUGUCAGUCCUAAUAAAAGAAGCCAACUGAAAAGGAGCAUGUAAACCUCCAACAACGGUUACUAAUUGUCAUUCAACAGGUUCAAAUUUUUACAGUUUCAGAACAUAUCUAUUAGCAAAAAUAGCUGAAAAUAUCAAAAGAAGCUCUGAAAUGGGGGGAGGGAUUCAGCAACAAUAACAGCACCUCCACAGACCAGCCAAAUAAAUCCAAACCUCAACCGAAAAUUGGACAGAACAAACCUAAAAUGCCGAAAUUCAAAACCCAACUACAAACUUUAACUCGAGAUUUAAUUCGGACUUCUUUUUUUGAACCAGAAAUCAAGAGAAAGAAACAAGGCUAGAAAGCUUUCCGUUUCAGUAAUUUUUGGCAAAAAUGAACUCGAAUGAGAGCUGAAACUCAAGCCAUUUUUUAAUCUUUUCUGAAAAAAACAAGAAAAAACAGACUGAAAAUGGCUUCAAGAAAAGUGACAACUCAAAACCCUAAAUAUUUUACUCGACUAUAUUCUGAAGAUUUUUCUCCGAUUUUUCCUUUCUGAUUUUCUCCUUCUAGCACAUAGGACUUACCUCAUAUAUAUAGCCUUCAAAAAUUCUCCCGAAUAUGCUAAACAGUCCGAAAAUCUCUCAAGUUUUUGAACAAUUUUGGGACAAAUGGGGGGCGUGGAUUGGUUCGCAUCUACCACGGCUCCUAUUCAUCCAACAAUUGUCCUUUUUUAUACAGAAAUCCGCAAUUUAGAAUAGAAUAUUCGAAUUCCUUCUGACAAAAACCUUUAGGAAUCAGAUGUCGUGGAGGGGGGGGGACCAAUUUGAGCGAACUCGGGUGAGUUGAAAGCGAGUUGGGGCCGAAUCAGUUGAAGAACAAGAUGAAUAGUGUAAAGGGAUGCCGCAUUCUCUGAUAUGUUAGGGUUAGGGAAUUUGGGGAGAAUUAUAAGAAGGUUUUUAUAUUAAGAGGGAAAGGGAGGGGUCUCUUCGGGCUGAAGUUAAUUUGUAGGGAUUUUUACGUAUGUAUACCAUAUAACAAACUUUAUUACUAAAAAUAUUUUUAUAUAGUAUUUACCCGCCUAGAUCAUAGUUUGUUUACAAAAAUUGUACCAAAUCAAAAAUAGGUGAAUUCUACCCUAAAAAAGCGCCAAUUUUGUACCAGUCAGAUGUAGUGUGAUUCUAUCACCAUUAAUUUCGAAAUUUAAAACGGAAGAAAACUCAUUGCAUCGUAAUUCUCUCAUUCUCCAUAUAUUUUCCACCAUUAAUAGCCAUUAAAAGCUAGAAAGCUUUGAAUUCAGAUUUGGAUUUUCAAAAAUCAUUAUUUGUUUGGAUUGGGUGUUGUUGUAUCUCGAUUUUGAGGGGGUUUUGAUGAAGAUUAGACUUGGUUUUGACUGAAUUUCAGAUUGAAACUCGUCGAAGAAGAAGAAGACAUAUUUUUCCAGAAUUUGUAGUUANNNNNNNNNNNNNNNNNNNNNNNNNNNNNNNNGAAGAAGAAGACAUAUUUUUUCAGAAAUUGUAGUUAAAUUGUAGAAUUGUAGAUAAAAUAUAGAUAAAUUGUAGAUAAUUUAUAGAUAAAUUGUGGAUUGGAAAAACUAAAAUUUCUACAGGUCUUCUACAAUUAUGUAGAAAAUGCCAAUUAUGCUACAAUUGAAAAUCCUUUGGAUUUGGUGUUGUUGUAAAUAAUUCGAAAUAUGUUUAGGAGUUUAUAUCUCAAUUUUGANNNNNNNNNNNNNNNNNNNNNNNNNNNNNNNNNNNNNNNNNNNNNNNNNNNNNNNNNNNNNNNNNNNNNNNNNNNNNNNNNNNNNNNNNNNNNNNNNNNNNNNNNNNNNNNNUUUUGAGGGGUUUUGGUGAAGAUUAGACUUGGUUUUGACUGAAUUUCAGAUUGAAACUCGUCGAAGAAGAAGAAGACAUAUUUUUUCAGAAAUUGUAGAAUUCUAGAUAAAUUGAAUAAAGUGUAGAUAAAUGGUCGAUAAUUUGUAGAUAAAUUGUAGAUUGGAAAGACUAAAACUUAUACAAGUCUUCUACAAUUAUGUCGAAAAUGCUAAUUAUGCUACAAUUGAAAAGAGAAUUGGAAUAUUAAAAUUCAAUGUAUUCAGUUUGUAGAUACAAUUUCCACAAAUAAAGUACAAAUCAGUUUAAGUAUUGUAUAAAGUUGUAUUGCUACAUUUAUACUACAAUUAAACUACAAUCUUGUAUCAAAAAAAUUUAAGCAUACCAAAAUUCAAUUUACUUUUUCUUGAUUACUUACCUAACAUAUGUAUUUUACCAAGUUAGCCAGAGAAAUCCACUGAUAAUAUUUUUAAAUACAUAAUGCCUUUGGUUUAGGGUAAUUAUAUAUCCUAUUAAGUAAAAUUAUCAUAAUGCUAUUAGUACGGACGUCGGUUGCAUUUAAGCCAAGGACUUGUUUCUUUAAUUUUUCACCAUUAUUGAUAAAGCUCGUAAGAAUUUUCUAUUGGAAUUAAGCAUACCAAAUUUCAAUUUAUAUCCCAAUUGAAAUGAGAAUUGGGAUCUUAUGUGACUCAAUAGAACGAGCUCUUUAAACUCAUUUGUACACUAAAGAAUAAUUGAUAUCCUAAAGAAUAAAUAACGACUAAAUUUCAUAGGUUUUCUUAACAUAAUUUUUUCUGUUCAUUCGAAAUAAAAUAAAAAAUAUUGCUUGGUAGAAACAAUUUGUUUGGAAAGAUUCGAUUUUGUUUUAGAAGGCGGGUUUUUUAUGCCAUUCUUGAUUUUUGAUAAGAGAUUUUGUCGCCCUUUCCUAAGCUAUUUUGGCUUCGAAAGAGAAGAGGAGGAAAAAAAGGGAAAAAGAAUAUAUGCUCCUAAAAUCAUGCCUAGGAUAAGUGAAGCAAUAAUUAUACUCUUAAUUUGAAUUAUGGUACAUAAAUUGAAUUUUGGUAUGCUUAAAUGUAAUAAACACAAACCUUAAACAUGUGAGGUAAUAAGGUUUUGCUAUAUGGUAUAGAUAAGUAAAAAUCUCUUUUAAAAAUGGGCCAAUUGCUUAAAUUAAAAUCUCAUUUGCUAUUAAAUUUUUAUUCUUUUUUUUUAAUAAUUAACAACCAUAGAAAUUAAAAAUUCUAAAUUAAUCUUUUUUUUGAAACUAAAGCUCUUCCUUUUCAAUUCUUCCUUUAUUUUCAAAUUUCCUUUUCAUUUUAAAAAUUACAAAACUAAUAAUUAAAAAUCCUAAAUUAUCUAAAAAUGUGUAAUUGAAGUAAUUAACUAAUUAUAAAAAUAUAAACAUUACUUAAAUCUAUAAUAAAAGUGAAAAAUCAAAAAGUAAAAUUAAAGCAAAAAAAAUGUGAAAAUGAACUAUUUUUUGUGAUUUUCAAAUUUUAUAAAACAAGUAAUUACGGAUUAACUCUAACAAUAUAAAAAGAAAUUCUAAAUGCAAUGCAUGUUUUUUUUGGGUAUUUUUAUAAUUUGAAUAAGCAAGAAAAAUGUAAACAAUUGAUAAAAAUCUACAGAAUUCCUAAAAAUGGAAAAUAAUUAAGAAAAAAUUUAUCUUCUUGGAUUUUAUGGGAGUAAUUCAUGUGAGGCAAAAAUCACAUGCUCACACAUCUUUUGAGGAGUGAUUACCGAGUAUUGCAUUGAUGUGAUCCAUAUUAUAAUAAACCUAGGACCCCUUUCCUUUUCCUUUUCUUUUCUUUUAAAGCUUUGUAACUCCUUGAUUAAAAAUCAGCCUUUUAAUUGUUCUUUCAAACUUUGUUUAUUUUCAUACCAUUGUGUAUUAAAAUCCCCUCUUAUUUGAGCCUUAUAUGUUUAUAUGUUAAUUGCACCAAAUUCACAAAGAACUAUCUAGCCGAGAAUCAUAUUAGUAGAUCUUGAGGGGUGCCUAACACCUUCCCCUUAGGAUAAUUUCAAGCCAUUACCCUAUCUCUGGUUAUCAAGUGAACUUAGAAAUGAACCUUGAUGGUGUCUUAAUGCACCAUAUACCAUUAGGUUGCGAUUCUUCAAAAUGUAAAACCCAGUUCCCAAAAGAAAUGAGUUGUCUUAUACCCCAAAAAUGUCAUUAACCUGGUUCUCCCAACGCGAGGAGGGAAAAAGGGGAUGUGACAGCUGAUUGUAGCUGCUCAGGACUAUGUAGCUCCUACCAUGCCAGAGGACGAGUAGCGCUGGUUGGAGAGGUUUUGUAGACUUCAGCCUCCGACUUUUAAUGGUGUAGAGGGCGAGGAUGCCUAGAGUUUAUUAGGUAGGUGUCAGCGGAUUCUCCGCACAGCGGGUAUUCUGGAGACCGGCGGGGUCACUUUCACUACUUUUCAGUUUUUUGGAGCUGCAUUCACUUGGUGGGAGGCGUAUGAGAGGCGUAGGCCUGUUGGUGCAAUACCCCUUACCAGGCACCAAUUCUUCAUUCUCUUUUUGGAGAAGUAUAUGCCGUUGUCUCGUAGAGAGGAGCUGCACUUGCAGUUUGAGUGGUUGCGCCAGAGAGAGAUGACUGUGACGCAUUAUGAGAUGAGGUUCUGCUUGUCAUGCUAUUUGGUUGGUUCCGAUAUAUAGAGAGAGGAUUGGGAUGUUUGUUGAUGGCCUUACUUAUCGGCUUCGUAUUCUCAUGACCAGGGAGAGGGUGUCUGGUGCUACAUUUGAGAAGGUUGUAGGCAUUGCUCGUGAUAUUGAGUCAGUUCGUUGCUAGGAGAAAGAUGAGAGUGAGGCCAAGAGGCCUCGAGGAUCUGGUAGUUACAAUGGUUCUCCUUCGCAAGGUCAGUUUCAACACAAAAGAGGCCGUCCAUUCUGGCAUGCUCAGCCAGCUCGCCCAUGCUAUCAUGGGGCGUCAUCGGGUCAUAGUUAUCACAGUUCUCAUCUGGGGCAGUUAUCACUUAGUGGCAUUCUAGCUUAGAGUUUGUCCCGUGCUCCAUGCUCUUCUAUGCCAGGUGCAUCUGCUAGUCAUUCCGGUGCUAGGGGUUCCCUUCAGUCCCCGUCUCCAGCACCCGAGAGUUGCUAUGGGUGCGGAGAGAUAGGUCAUAUAUGAAGGCAUUGUCCUUGUCGUUUUGGGGAUUCAUCUCAAUAUAGGGGUUAACCGUGGGCUUCAGCACCAGUUUCUUUACCACCACCUACCCACCCAGCUAGGGGUGGAGGUCAGUCAGCUAGGGGUCGCCCUAGAAAGGGAGGUUGCUCAGGUGGUGGUUAGGCCAAUUUUAUGCACUUCUAGCUAGACCCGAUGCUAUUGCUUCCGAUGCUGUUAUUACAUGUAUUAUUUCAAUCUUCAGCAGAGAUGCCUCUGUAUUAUUUGAUCCCGUUUCCACUUAUUCUUAUGUGUCAUCAUACUUUGCUCGUUAUUUGGAUACACCCUGUGAAUCUCUUGUUUCAUUUGUUAAUGUAUAUACUUCGGUGGGUGAUACGUUGUUGUGGACCGUGUGUAUCAGUCAUGUAUGGUGACUAUUGGGGCCCCGGAGACUCGAGUGGAUCUAUUAUUUUUAUGUAUGGUAGACUUCGAUGUUAUUUUAGGCAUGGAUUGGCUAUUUCCAUGUCAUAGUAUUUUGGACUGCCACGCUAAAACAGUGAUAUUGGUUAUGCUAGGUGUGCCACGGAUUGAAUAGCGAGGUUCGACUGAUUAUGUUCCUAGUAGGGCAAUUGCAUUCUUGAAGGCCAGCGUAUGGUUGGGAAGGGUUGUCUUUCAUAUCUAGCCUUUGUGAGGGAUGUUGGUACAAAGACUCCCAGUAUUGAUUCUGUUCCAGUUGUGAGGGAUUUCCCCGAUUUCUUGCAGACCUGCCGGGCAUGCCACUGGACGUGGAUAUUAAUUUUGGUAUUGAUAUAGUGCCGGACAAUCGGCCCGUUUCUAUCCCACCGUAUCGUAUGGCACCAGCGGAGUUGAAGGAGUUAAUGGAGCAACUUCAGGAACUCUUUGACAAGGGGUUUAUUCGGCCUAGUGUGUCACCUUGGGGUGCGCCGGUUCUAUUUGUGAAGAAGAAGGAUGCCACUAUGAGGAUGUGCAUUGAUUACAUGCAUUUGAACAAAGUAACAAUUAAGAACAAGUAUUCUUUGCCUCGUAUCGAUGAUUUGUUUGACCAGCUUCAGGGAGUGAGAGUGUUCUCCAAGAUUGAUCUCCAAUUAGGUUAUCACCAGUUUAAGAUCAAAGACUCAAAUAUUCUUAAGAGAGCUUUCAUGACCCGAUAUGGUCGUUAUGAGUUCUUGGUGAUGUCUCCAGCAGAGUUCAUGAAUUUAAUGAACGGCGUGUUUCGGCCGUGUCUUGACUCUUUUGUCAUAGUCUUCAUUGAUGAUAUUCUUGUAUACUCGCGCAGGCAGGAAGAGCACGCGAAGUAUUUGAGAGUUGUGUUGUAGAUAGCUUUAUGCAAAGUUCUCCAAGUGUGAGUUUUGGAUCGGUUCAGUAGCUUUCUUGGGGCACGUGGUGUCCAACGAGGGUAUUCAGGUUGAUACAAAGAAGAUAGAGGCGGUUCAGAGCUGGCCCAAAUCGUCUUCGGCCACAGAGUUUCGUAGUUUUCUUGGUUUGGCGAGUUAUUAUAGCCUGUUUGUUCAAGGAUUUUCAUCUAUCUCUUUUCCCUUGACCAAGAUGACUCAGAAGGGUGCUUCAUUUGUAUGGUCAGAUGAGUGUGUGGAGAGAUUUCAGAAGAACAAUAUCACACCUCUUUUUUGGCUAUCCACAACUCGACGAAGGAUGUAGAUAGGGGAGUUUUUCCAAUUAAAGGACAAUCGAAACAGAAUUCAAUUAUUUAAGAUAGUUUCAGAGUCACCACUUGGGAGAUUAUGGUGUCCCAAGUCACCGGUUUAGAAUCCAGAAUCGAGGAAAGAAUGACUCUGUUUAACAAUCCGCUAACCAAAAAUCCGGAUAAGGAAUUCUGUUAACCCGGGAGAAGGUGUUAGGCACUCCCGAGUUCCGUGGUUCUAGCACGGUCGCUCAACUCUUAUAUUUGGCUUAAAUAAUCUGAAACAUGUUUUAAUUUAUGUGCUUUUAAACCUUAAACUGCUUUUAUAAUUAUUAUUUUAUUAUUUUUUUACGAAAAAUUGCAACGACGUCAAAACGUGCCUUAAACCACGUCACAUAAAUGCACCCGUGAUUUUUGACACAUUCUAACUUCGUUGAGAUUUGGAUUUGGGUCACAUAAAUGCGCACCCAUGUUUAAGGAGAGAAAAUUAUUAAAGACGUUCCUAUACGCGACUAACACGUUAUUAUUUUGCGGGAAUACCGUGAAAUUUUCUAAACGGCGUGUCCCGAAUCUCUAAGUAUUUUACUAUGAACAUUUACGGAGGACCAUACAAUUUAUGAGUUCUAUUUGGCGCGGCGCACCUCGAUGAAUUUAAGGAAGUGCAUUCAACUAAGUGGAUUAGGGACAUUCAUUUUUACAACUAAUUUGAGAUCCAACAUCACAACCACGCUAUGGGAACCAUUGCCGUUAUUGUGGUGAUCUAAUUACGUGCCUAAGGGUUCUCCUACCCAGGGUAUAUUAACCAAUCAUGCUCCUAACGGUCUAGUUAAUGAAGCAAUUUUCACCUUUAGUUCACAUACCCCACGACCAUUUAUCAUUGUUUCUCCCUACGCUAAUUUCACCGUACAAUCGAGAAUUCAUAAAAUAGGAGUCAACAUUCUUAGAGACUUAAAACUGACUUUAAACAAAAUAUAACAGACAAAUCAAACAAACAAUAUUAAUGAACAGAACGAUUAAAGCCUAUCAAACAAAGGCAAACAUGAAACUCAUGUGCAGAUUUCCAAACAACAUUAUAACAACACCAACUUUGGAACUCAUCAUGCAUAUUGGACUUAACCUAGGGUAUUGAACCCUUAUACUAUCAUUCAUACAGAUAUAAGGCUAUGUCACUACAGCCUUAGAAAAACCUUAAUUAGGGCUCCUUUAGAACCCCAAAAGAUCAUAACUCAACCAAAUUCAACAAGAUUUAAAUUUAGACCUCAAAACAAAACAGUAUAAUACCAAAUGGAUACAUUUAAAAGCCUAGCCUAAAAAGAUACCACUCCAAGCCAUGAAGAGCAUACCAUAUUCAGAGUAUUAAGUUCCAGUCGCUUAUUUAUGGGGUAGAGAGACAAUAAACAAAAUUUCUCAAAUGAAAUAGAUUGAACAGGUAGGCUAAACUAUGAGCACAACUACUAAUCUAAUAGGACCUGUCCAUAUCCUAAAGAAAAUAUACAUCUCUUUUAGAAAAAAAAUGAAGGAGAAAACUCAAAAGAAAAAUAAUUACCAAAGCAACUUAAGGCAUGCCAUAUCCAUUUCUCAACUUCCAAUUCGAGUAGGAAUUCAAGGAUGUGUACCUAAUAUCGAACAACAAAACAAGAGAAGGUGAGAUAGCAGCAGUAGAAACAGCUGAACUCAACAGAUUUCAGCAACCAGAAAUAGAUGAAAUCAACUCCGAACCCAGGAAUGAAGUCAAGCAACCCAGAAAACAACUCAAAUGAAGAACCACAAAAACAAAUUUACAACCAAUGCUUAAAAGAGAACCAAAUUUGAUCCAUCUUCACACUAAAUGAUUUAGAAUUUGCUUUUAUAAGUCAGCACUUCCAAAUACUGAAAAGUUUGAUAAAACAGUAAAGUUUUUAGCCGUCUUCUAUUUUUGGAUCUUAUCUCUUAAUAAAUCUAAGAUUUUCAGAAUGUGUAAGCUCUCUAUUUUGUUCUGGAUAUUCUCCUCUCUUCCUCCCAUCCCCUAGCCUUCUUUUAUUGUGCCUUUAUAGGCAAGUCCUUAAGGUGUCUUUCAGCUUUUUGUUUUCAUUAUUAGUCCCCUAUUUCGUGACUUAUUUCCCAAGUCAUACCCUGAAAUUUACUAGUAGAUCCCUGCUAGAAACUUCUAGGUUAGUUACAAAAUAUUCCCCACCUAGACUACCCAAAUCACCCCCAUAGCCAUCACUAUUUACCUUCCUCUGAAAAAUAAAUGUAGGCUCAUGUGAGGCACACACAUGCCCAAACCAUGUGGGCUACCAGAAUUCCCUGCCCCGCUUUGGGUUCCCUUUUUAUAAUGCCCAAAGUGAUUAAUUCAUAAACCAAUGCAAUUCAUAAAUCAGUAAAGCAUUACAAAAACUACAAUACCAUUGCAGCUAUGAACAAAAACACUUCUAAAUCAAAUGGAACAAGAAAUAGAUCAAAUAAUGAUUAUGCUAAGCUAUCGAUGCUUGAUCUUUCAUAUAAAAACUAAUGUUUGAAAGCAAAAUAGCAAACAACAGAAAUAAUUAUAAAAAAAAGUACAUUGAAGAAGGGAGCUAAGUUAUCAAUGCAUUAUUUGUCAUACCAGAACUAAUGUUUGAAAAUAAAAUAGCAAACAACAGAAAGAAUUAAAAAAAUUACAUUGAAGAAGGGAAUAAUGUACAGGGUUCUAACAGCGGAUUGACGACUUCAAAGAAAUCAACAACUAAGGAGGGUCCGAUAAGCGGCAAAAAUUGUAAUGCGAGCAUUAACCGGAAUUUCUCCAACGGUUAAUGCAACAAUCUUCGACACCUAUCUUGAGAAUGAAACGAACAAGAACUUUGAGCAUGGAUUGCUUGGCUAAAAUCGACUUCCAUGAGGGGCCUGGAAUUUUGAUUGAAUAACCAAUUGAUCCCUCGUGCUAGUAUCAAAAUAAGCGAAUAUUGGAAAAACAAGGAGGAAAUUGGAGGAGAGGAUGGCAACUCGAAUUUUCUGCCUUCCGAGAUUCGAAAUUCAUGGGAAUCGAGCGACAUUUGCAAAAAACUAGCGGUGGAUCUAGAAUGGGGAAGCAACAAGGAUUAUAGGGUCUAAUUUUGACGAGGUUUGGAGAUUGAUCGCCGGCGACCAUGGCUGAAUCGCUCAGGGACGGCGUAGGCUUAGUGAAGAUGAUGACAUAAACUAUCUAUUUAAUCUUUUGGCUAACGGGGAACUUUGGACACUCUUAUGCGAAUUGAAGAACUGAUACCAGCCCUUAGAUUGGGUUUGGAUGGAAGGACAUAUUUUUUUUAACUCUUGAACUCAAAACGACGUACUAUGGCUUCAGUACUACGUCGUUUUAGUUAUCUCCAAGCCUGAUGUUGGACCGGGUAAAAUGGGGUGGGUUAGGGACUGGGUGUUUGGGUUUGGGCAUGCCAUUUAAUUCUUUUGGCUAGUUUUAAUUAUAAUUGGCCCCAAAGAGUAUAUGUAAUGGAAUUGUAUUUUCAGACUUCUUUAAUCCUUCUCUUUAUUUAUUUCAAUUCCAAAAUUAUUUUUUAAAACUUAGAAAAAUCCUAAUUAAUAUAUAAAACCCUUAAUUAACCAUUCAAUAAUUAUGUCAAUACCGGCAACAAUGAAAUUUAUAGUAAGAGGAAAAUCCGUCGACUUUGCCACAUAAUAGAACAAAAGGAAGAACAAAAUUACCUAAAACUAAUCUUAUGUGUGCAUUAAACCAUUUUUUUUGAAUUUCCUUUUCCAAUUACUAAUUAAUUUUUAAAAAUGCAAAAUUACUCCUAAGUGCACAUGCCUUAUGUACUUUUGUAUUUUCGUUAUUUGAAAUGCACAAAAUGCAAACCAUUAACAGAAUAAUGCCACAAAAAAAUCAAAAUUGCAAAUAAACAAACAAAAUUAUUUUGUUUUGAAUUUCUGAGAGUAAUUCGUAUUGGGCAAAAAUCAUAUGCUCACAGCUGCCCCUCUUUGCGCGGGAACACAUAGAGCUUUCGUGCAAAGAUAAGUGAGCGAACAUGAGCGAUUUUUGCCUGUUUGAACCCUCCGUGAGAAGCAUUUUUGAAAAGUUUGACCGCACCCUGCUUCAGAGUUAUCCUACAUAUCCUCGGUUGGAGAGGAAUCAGGUUAGUGUAGUUCAGGAGUGUUUGGCAGCUGAGACUACCGAGGCUGUGAUUUUACUGUUUCUGUUGCUGCUAUUGCUGCUAGACCCCCUUAUUACACCAUUGUGAAAAAUAAAGAAGCUAGACUAAGCUAUGAACUAUGGAUUGCAAGAAAACCUAUCUAUAUUUUCCGACUUUCUCUGAAUCCUUAUUGCCUUGUUGUCUUGCAUUUCUUGCUGUGGAACUUCUUGUUGCUUUAUUAACCGGUGUUUCCUCCUGUGGAACCUUGUUGUCUGGUAAUCCUUCAUUUGGAACUCCUUGUUGCCUUGUUGUCUGGUAUUUCUCUUCCUCUAUUUUCGAUGCCGAAUUGCUGGUCUUAAGAUGUACUCCGUUGAAAGCAUUCCCUCGUUCUACAUGUGGGCGCCUAGUUGCUUGAACUCACAAUUUGAAAAAUAUUCCUUUGUUCUACAGGUGGACACCUAAUCAUCAAAACAUGA
rnacentral:lncRNA from 1 species